UAAAGGAGACCUCAGAUUUGUCACUCUUAUCUGACUCAUGAAACUGAGACCCAGAGAGGUGAAAGGGUGUGCUCGGUCCGGUAGCUGUGUUGCAGACUAUGUGAAUGGCACCUCUUGGUGUCAUGCAAUGCAUAACAACCACCUGUGCAGCCUCAUGGCCCUGCACAACCUCCUGACCACAGCGAUGGAAUAAAGUGGUCCAGUCAGGGGCAUUUUCAGCCUCUGGGGAUGUUGAUAUAGUAACUCCUCCUCUUUUCCCAUACCCUGAAAAAAUGCAGCCCAAGAAGCUGCCGAUGCUCUUACAGCUGUGAGGGGAGGGGCUGCCCGAGGAGAGAGGUAACCUAGAGUUGAGAGAUGGAGGAAGAGAUACAGAAUCUGGAUGGCUAUGCUCUGAUCCUGUAAUCCGACUAUGCCUGAAUGUGGAUCUACCUUCCAAAGGUGAAUGAGCUUCCUGCCCAUAGGAGAAAGGGUAAAAUCACAAGGUGGUGCCCUUGUCUCCAAAUCUCAAGGUCCUCUGGAUGGCAGGUACCCUUAGAAGAAUGCAGACAAACACUCCUAUGGAAAUUUAAAGGAGCAUAAGACUUCUUGCAGUAUAGGGAGAGAACCAAGGAAGACUUCCUGGAGGAAAUGGCCAUUGAACUGGGCCUUGGACAUGUGGAGGUGAGGGAUGAGAGUAUUCCAGAUGAAGAGUCCAGCAUAGGGAAGGCCCACAGGAAGGAAUUGUGCUGUAUUAAUGCUGUCUUAGAGGCAUUUCCAUUGCCAGACACAGAUACUCAAAUUACUUCAGAGAGAGAGAGAGAGAGUAUUGAAAGGGUUUCUGUGAAUACCUCCACAACUGUGGUUCUCAAAGUGUAAUCCCUGGGCCAGCAGCAUCGGCAUCACCUGGGAACUUGUUAGAAAUGCAGAUUCCCAGGCUGGGUGCAGUGGCUCACGCCUGUAACCCUAGCACUUUGGGAGUCCGAGGUGGGUGGAUCACCUGAGGUUGGGAGUUUGAGACCAGCCUGACCAACAUGGAGAAACCCUGUCUCUACUAAAAAUACAAAAAGCCAGGUGUGGUGGCGCAUGCCUGUAAUCCCAGCUGCUUGGGAGGCUGAGGCAGGAGAAUCGCUUGAACCCGGGAGGCAGAGGUUGCGGUGAGCCGAGAUUGCACCACUGCACUCCAGCCUGGGUAACAAGAGCGAAACUCCACCGAAGAAAGAAGAGAGAGAGAGAGGGAGAAAGAAAGAAAGGAGAAAGAGAGAAAGAAAGAAAAAGAAAGAAAGAAAAGAAAAGAAAAAAGAAAGGAAAAGAAAAGGCAAAUUCACCAGAGCCUUUGAAUCAGAAAAGAACCCCCAGGGGCUGGUGGUAGCAGUCCUUGCACAGGCCCUCCAGGUGAUUCUCAUCCAGGGAAGCCUGCGAGCCCUUGAGGUGGAAUAUUCUCAGGAAUCCCUGAGAUAUGUGAAGAACUGAUGGCAUAGGCUAUUUCUAGGGAGGAAAUGGGGCUGCUGGGUGCACAGAUGAGGGGAGGUGGGAGACCUCUGUAAUUGUGUACCAUGUGCAUAUAUUACCUAUUCAGAGAAUAAUAAAACAAUGCGUUUAAUCCCCCGUCUUCCUCCAUCUACUUCUCUCGUACCCCAUAGCUGCUCUAGCACCUCCACCUCCCUCCUCAAAUGGUGUUCUUUGCUUCCUAGGCAAGCUGGUUUUCUGUUCUCCCUUCCCCGGUCUUCUCUUGCCUGGUCUUUAUUACAAGGUGUGCUAAGCCUCAUAAGGACAGUUGAAGAGAAAAGAAGUGAGACUGUGCUAGUGGCUAUAGAAUUCUGCCAGGAGAGCUGGAGGUGGGGAGGAAGACUAUGAAUUCAACCAUGCCAAUAAUUUCAGUCAAAAAUUAAGAAAAAGCCCAUCUCCGCCCCCUUUUCGGUUAUCAAAUAUGCAUUGUUUUCCUCUUUUGUUGGGCUUUUGUGUCUGUUUCAUUCUCACCUUGACUCAGCCCCUGUGAGCUUCAACUCUAAGCCUAACUCCAGCCACGGAGAAACCACGGAGAGGUUUGUCCAGUGUCUGGAAGAUGGACUGACUGCUGAAACAGGAGCAAGAAGAACCUCCUAGCAGGUCAGACAUACCCAAAGACAGCCACAUGGAAAUGGACACUGUUGCAAGGACGUGUGUCCAGCAGAGCAGGGGCAAAUGCCCCUGGUGCUAUAACUCCUUAAAGGCUCAAAUAUCUCUGCUGACCCAGUGAGUGCCCCUCAGCUUGUGGUGUGAGACUGAACUUACAGACACCACCUCAACUCGAGGAAUUCAAUGCAGUGAUGAGCUGAUUUAUGGUGUUUGCCAAUUCCUGUGGUGUAAAUAACUCAUCGCAUGGCCAGUUUCAGGCUACCAAUGUGAAGUCACUGAACCCAAAGUUUGGAAGAGAUUUACAUAACAGUGGACAUAGUUACUGGGCUUCAUAGAGAAAGCUACUAAACACAAGUGCCCCUGGGGUCCAGAAAUCAACUUCUGGUUGGAACUGACCUAUAUGGUGCCAAGUGUGCAUCUUCUAGGAGGACACUAGCAUUAGCAUGUCAUCCGCCAGUCUUGCAACAAGCCUUUUCCGUAAGAGCCUUUGACUAACAUUUGUUGAAUUUUGUAUUCACUGGGGGCUGGACGUGGUGACUUAUGCCUGUAAUCCCAGCACUUUGGGAGGCCAAGGCGGGCAGAUCACUUGAGGUCAGGG
rnacentral:lncRNA from 1 species